rnacentral:rRNA from 1 species
AAAAGAAACCAACAGGGAUUGCCUCAGUAACGGCGAGUGAAGCGGCAAGAGCUCAACUUUGGAAUCGCUCCGGCGAGUUGUAGUCUGGAGGUGGCCACCACGAGGUGUUCUAGCAGCAGGCAAGUCCUUUGGAACAAGGCGCCAGCGAGGGUGACAGCCCCGUACCUGCUUUUGCUAGUGCUUCCUGUGGCCCACCGACGAGUCGAGUUGUUUGGGAAUGCAGCUCUAAGUGGGUGGUAAAUUCCAUCUAAGGCUAAAUAUUGGCGAGAGACCGAUAGCGAACAAGUACAGUGAUGGAAAGAUGAAAAGCACUUUGAAAAGAGAGUGAAACAGUACGUGAAAUUGUUGAAAGGGAAGGGCUUGCACCCAGACACGGUUUCGGCCGGGCCAGCAUCAAGUAGAACGGGGUUAAAAGACUUGGGGAAUGUAGCUACUUCGGUAGUGUUAUAGCCCUUGGUGAUGACCCCUGUUUUGCUUGAGGACAGCGGUCUCUAGGAUGCUGGCGCAAUGGUUGCAAGCCA